UACGUAGGGUGCAAGCGUUGUCCGGAAUUAUUGGGCGUAAAGAGCUCGUAGGCGGUCUGUCGCGUCGGAUGUGAAAAUCCAGGGCUCAACCCUGGACCUGCAUUCGAUACGGGCAGACUAGAGUUCGGUAGGGGAGACUGGAAUUCCUGGUGUAGCGGUGAAAUGCGCAGAUAUCAGGAGGAACACCGGUGGCGAAGGCGGUUCUCUGGACCUGUAUUGACGCUGAGGAACGAAAGCGUGGGGAGCGAACAGG
rnacentral:rRNA from 1 species